rnacentral:rRNA from 1 species
CCCUUAGAUGCUCUGGGCCGCACGCGCGCUACACUGGUCGAUGCAACGAGUUUCUUUCCUUGGCCGACAGGCCUGGGCAAUCUUUGAACAUCGAUCGUGAUCGGGAUAGAUUCUUGUAAUUUUUGAUCUUAAACGAGGAAUUCCUAGUAAACGCAAGUCAUCAGCUUGCAUUGAUCACGUCCCUGCCCUUUGUACACACCGCCCGUCGCACCUACCGAUUGAAUGGUCCGGUGAAAUCUCCGGACUGGCGUGAGUCGGAGCAAUCUGACAAACGCCGGAAAGUUGAUUAAACCUUACCAUUUAGAGGAAGGAGAAGUCGUAACA